CCUACGGGGUGCAGCAGUGAGGAAUAUUGGGCAAUGGACGAGAGUCGGAACCAGCCAAGUAGCGGGAAGGAUGACUGCCCUAUGGGUUGUAAACUUCUUUUAUAGGGGAAUAAAAUGUUCCACGUGUGGGAUUUUGCAUGUACUUUAUGAAUAAGGAUCGGCUAACUCCGUGCCAGCAGCCGCGGUAAUACGGAGGAUCCGAGCGUUAUCCGGAUUUAUUGGGUUUAAAGGGAGCGUAGAUGGGUUGUUAAGUCAGUUGUGAAAGUUUGCGGCUCAACCGUCAAAUUGCAAUUGAUACUGGCAGUCUUGAGUACAGUUGAGGUAGGCGGAAUUCGUGGUGUAGCGGUGAAAUGCUUAGAUAUCACGCAGAACCCCGAUUGCGAAGGCAGCUUACUAAACUGUGACUGACAUUGAUGCUCGAAAGUGUGGGUAUCAAACAGGAUUAGAUACCCGUGUAGUC
rnacentral:rRNA from 1 species